rnacentral:rRNA from 1 species
AUACGAAGGGGGCUAGCGUUGCUCGGAAUCACUGGGCGUAAAGGGCGCGUAGGCGGCGUUUUAAGUCGGGGGUGAAAGCCUGUGGCUCAACCACAGAAUUGCCUUCGAUACUGGGACGCUUGAGUCUGGUAGAGGUUGGUGGAACUGCGAGUGUAGAGGUGAAAUUCGUAGAUAUUCGCAAGAACACCGGUGGCGAAGGCGGCCAACUGGACCAGUACUGACGCUGAGGCGCGAAAGCGUGGGGAGC